rnacentral:rRNA from 1 species
UACGUAGGGUGCAAGCGUUGUCCGGAAUUAUUGGCGUGAAGAGCUCGUAGGCGGUUCGUCGCGUCGGCUGUGAAAACCUGAGGCUCAACCUCAGGCCUGCAGUCGAUACGGGCGGACUUGAGUACUGCAGGGGAGACUGGAAUCCUGGUGUAGCGGUGAAAUGCGCAGAUAUCAGGAGGAACACCGGUGGCGAAGGCGGGUCUCUGGGCAGUAACUG